UUUUGGAUCUCUACUCCCAUCUCCCCCUGAGUUCAGACUUGCACCACCUACUGGCUCUUCACUGACCGGCUAACUGAUGCUCAAAUUCGACGUAUCGAAAGCAGAACUCAAGCAAAACAUCGCAUCUUUCCAUUUUAUAGGACAAUGCCAACUCCUGAAGAUCUUGCUCUAAGUGGUCAAAGGGUGAGCAUACUGCAGGCAACAAAAGAUCGAGCAUACUACAGGCAACCAAGGGUCAAGACAAAUUUACAGGAUCCCUCCCUACCGUGGCCACUACCCAGCUUCCCAGUAGUGCCUUCCUAAUUUGCUGCCCAUGGUAAUGGAGACAAAUACCUGCAGAAGAACAUAAUCAAAACUCAAAGGAAAGUAAGGAGGAGCAAGUUUUUUAAAAGGAAUACAGUUUGCAAUCCUCUUGUUACUAAUUCUUGUUGAUAAUUGAUUUUGUGCUUAAAUCUCACAAGAAUAAACAGUUUUUAGCAAUG
rnacentral:lncRNA from 1 species